UCGAGAAUUUUUCACAAUGGGGGAAACCCUGAUGGAGCGACGCCGCGUGGAGGAUGAAGGCCUUCGGGUUGUAAACUCCUGUCAUGCGGGAACAAGAAAGUGAUAGUACCGCAAGAGGAAGAGACGGCUAACUCUGUGCCAGCAGCCGCGGUAAUACAGAGGUCUCAAGCGUUGUUCGGAUUCAUUGGGCGUAAAGGGUGCGUAGGUGGCGAUGUAAGUCUGGUGUGAAAUCUCAGGGCUCAACCUUGAAAAUGCACCGGAUACUGCGUUGCUUGAGGAUUGUAGAGGAGAGUGGAAUUCACGGUGUAGCAGUGAAAUGCGUAGAUAUCGUGAGGAAGACCAGUUGCGAAGGCGACUCUCUGGGCAACUCCUGACACUGAGGCACGAAGGCUAGGGGAGCAAACG
rnacentral:rRNA from 1 species